AGAGUUUGAUCAUGGCUCAGAACGUACGCUGGCGGCACGCCUAACACAUGCAAGUCGAACGCAGUAGCAAUACUGAGUGGCAGACGGGUGAGUAACAUGUGGGAAUCUGCCUUGUGGUUCAGGACAACAUUGGGAAACCGAUGCUAAUACUGGAUAAGCCCUUACGGGGAAAGUUUUAAUGCCAUAAGAUGAGCCCGCAUUUGAUUAGUUAGUUGGUGAGGUAAUGGCUCACCAAGACAAUGAUCAAUAGCUGAUCUGAGAGGAUGAUCAGCCACACUGGGACUGAGACACGGCCCAGACUCCUACGGGAGGCAGCAGUGGGGAAUCUUGCACAAUGGGCGAAAGCCUGAUGCAGCGAUGCCGCGUGCGGGAAGAAGGCCUUAGGGUUGUAAACCGCUUUCAGGAGGGAAGAAAAUGACGGUACCUCCAGAAGAAGGUGCGGCCAACUACGUGCCAGCAGCCGCGGUGACACGUAGGCACCAAGCGUUAUCCGGAUUUAUUGGGCGUAAAGAGCUCGUAGGCGGUUUGGUAAGUCGGGUGUGAAAACUCUGGGCUCAACCCAGAGAGGCCACCCGAUACUGCUAUGACUAGAGUACGGUAGGGGAGCGGGGAAUUCAUGGUGUAGCGGUGAAAUGCGCAGAUAUCAUGAGGAACACCAGCGGCGAAGGCGCCGCUCUGGGCCGUAACUGACGCUGAGGAGCGAAAGCAUGGGUAGCAAACAGGAUUAGAUACCCUGGUAGUCCAUGCCGUAAACGUUGGGCACUAGGUGUGGGUCUCAACCAACGAGAUCCGCGCCGUCGCUAACGCAUUAAGUGCCCCGCCUGGGGAGUACGGUCGCAAGACUAAAACUCAAAGGAAUUGACGGGGGCCCGCACAAGCGGUGGAGCAUGUGGUUUAAUUCGAUGCAACGCGCAGAACCUUACCAGGGUUUGACAUGAUACGAAUUUUUUUGAAAGAAGA
rnacentral:rRNA from 1 species